UAGCUCAGUUGGGAGAGCGUUAGACUGAAGAUCUAAAGGUCCCUGGUUCAAUCCCGGGUUUCGGCAGCGCUUCCGUUUUAGGCGUUAGUCAUCACUACAUGUGAUUUCUGCAGUUAACAGGGUCUUUCUGCAGUUAACAGGGUCAACACCCUGUGGGUUCUCACGCGGGCUGGGGCAGUUAAGGGAAACCUUAUCGUCAUUUUCCCCUGGGAGGGAGGAUACUGGGGACAUAUGUCUUACCUUUUAAACUGCCCAGUACGAAGUUACGCCUCUGCCCUCACUUGGGACCUGGUUUGAGACAAGCUCUUCCGGAGCACUGCGCAUAGCUCACUUUCUUGAGCAACCCUGUGUCCCCGCACCCCGCUCCUCUUCUUUCGGGUUCUAGGCAGCCGUGGGCGCUGCGACCCUUCUCUCACUGUCAGAGGGGCGGGAGCUCUCGGCCUGCGCCGCCUCCGCUGCCUGCUUGGUCGCGGGCUUGCCGGGAAUGGUGACAGCCCGGGCCCCCUCUUGGCCAAAGAAGUCCUCGAAAGCGUUCGGCGCACGGGCUUUGUCCAGCUUUUUAAACCGUAACAAGGACCGGGGCCGGGCGCGGUGGCUCACGCCUGUAAUCCCAGCAUUUUGGGAAGUCGAGGCGGACGGAUUACUUGAGGUCAUGAGUUCGAGACCAGCCUGGCCAACACGAUGGAGUCUUGCUCCCAUGCUGGAGUGCAGUGGCGUGAUCUCGGCUGACUGUAACCUCCGCCUCCCGGGUUCAAGUGAUUCUCCUGCCUCAGCCUCCGGAGUAGCUGGGAUUACAGCCGAACUCCUGACCUCAGGUCAUCCUCCUGCCUCAGCCUCCCAAAGUGUUGGGAUUACAGGCACGAGCCACUGAACCCGGCCAAAAUUUGAAUUUCAGAGAAACAACAAAUACUUUUUAGUAUAAACAUGUCCCAAAUAUUGCAUGGAAUAUACAAAGUACAUAUUUGUUGUUUCUGUGAAAUUGGAUUUAACUGGACACCCUGUAUUUUUAUUUUCCAAAUUGCAAGUCACUUGUACAUCAUAUCCUUGCACCCCUCUGAACCCUAUGCACCACCUUCCCCACCCCAGCAAAGAUAUCCAGACGCUGUAUGCAGGAAGAACUGAAUUUCAGAGGACACCGUUUGAUCUUCAACACCUGGCAGUUUACAAAACAGCCUGAAGAGGAGAGGGGGAAUCCUGGUGAGAAGCAUUUGGAAUUCAAGCUCAGAGAAGAAGACACGGUAUUUCUGGCUGAAUCACAUUUCCUGCAUGCCUGCACACUCCUACUCACCUUUCAAGGCACAGUUCUAAUGCCUUACCCCCUGCCAGGUGCUACUCUGCCUUCCUUCUAGUGAUUUCUCUGGGUUACCAAAGGUCUUGCAUAUUUCUCUAUUAAAGCAUUGAUUAAAAGCCAUCUCGGCUCACUGCAACCUCUGUUUCCUGGGUUCCAGCGAUUCUCCUGCCUCAGCCUCCCGAGUAGCUGGGACUACGGGUGUGCGCCACCGCACUUGGCUAUUUUUGUAUUUUUUGGUAGAGACCAGGUUUCACCAUGUUGGCCAGGCUAGUCUCAAACUCCUGACCUCAAGUGAUUGGCCCGCCUCGGCCUCCAAAGCGCUGGAAUUACAGGCGUGAACUACUGCUUUGGCCAAGCUGCAUUCUCAAAGGUGUAAAGGGUAGAAGUAUAUACCACCCGAAAAUAUGCCACUCCGGCCUAAGGAUUAUUUUGCGCUAAAGGCAAUUGGGAAGAAGCUGAUUAAAAUAAAGCUCCAUAGCCUCCCCCUAUCUGCCUAAAAGCAGGAUAUACAUUUACAAAGUCGUUCCUCCUCCUUUCUCUACCAGGAAGGACAAAGGUUGAUAACCUAAGACAACUUUAGGUCCUUAACAGCUUGGAGACGUGAACAGAGGGGACCACAGAAGUACAUUUAACAAGCUUUAGGAACCUGCCUUUAUCUAACAUUAAUUUCCCAUAUAUUUGCUUUCCCACAAUUUGCUGUCCCUGGAGACCCGAGGUCCUUUCUUUUUGCUUUCUUUUUUUUUGUUUUUUUUGGGACAGAGUCUCGCUCUGUCGCGCAGGCUGGAGUGCAGUGGCGCGAUCUCGGCUCACUGCAACCUCUGCCUCCGAGUUCAAGCGAUUCUCCUGCCUCAGCCUCCUGAGUAGCUGGGAUUACAGGCGCGCGCCACCACGCCCGGCUAAUUUUUGUAUUUUUAGUAGAGACGAGGUUUCACCACAUGUUGGUCAGGCUGGUCUCGAACUCCUGACCUCAGGUGAUCCGCCCACCUCGGCCUCGCAAAGUACUGGGAUUACAGGCGUGAGCCACCGCGCCCAGCCUUUAAGGUCCUUUUCCUUUGUGUUGUCACUUCUCCAAAAACGUAUUGUUCUUUGUUGACGAUGCUGUAUAAAAUGGAGUUCUCAGCCACACCUUUAGAAUUACUCAUUCCCUGGGUAUGUCCCAUGUAUAUAUGAAAUGCACAUGUUAAUACACUUGUUUUUCUCUUCAUUCUGUCUGUUGUUACAGGAGUCCCAGCUGAGAACUCAAACUGGUAGAAGGAAGAUUAUUUUUCCUUCUCUAUAGGUGCUUGGAGGUAACGAGGGGAAAGGAGUUGAAAGGAAGGUGACAUUUCAGCUAAUCUGCUUCGCGCUACUUUUUUGAGGUGGGCACCUGGGAUGGAGGCAAGGAAUCACGAAGUGGCGUCUCCUCGGAAGGGGCAGCCUGAUGUCUUUAACCACUGAACUGUGGUUUCCAACUGGAUGCGCUUUGGGUUCAGGGCUAAGACACGCGUAGGCGGUGCAGACAGUUCAAUUCGUGGGCGGCUUUUUCUCUCCCCUGCGCGGUUUUGCAGAACUGAGGAUUCACGUUUGCCACGCAGUCUCUAAAUGUAAGGAGAACUUGCUUUAUUUAACGAAUGUGUAUUCAGCUGCCAAAGAACAAGCUAAUCACCCUUCCUCCCCACGCCCGACUUAGCCUCCUCCCAGCCCUCGCCGGAUUUCUGCAUCGGAAUUGGAUUGGAUCACACACAAAAGAAGAGCCCAGGAACUCGUUCACCACCUUGCACCUUGCCUGUUAGUUCACGGCAUAAUGGUAACAGAGUCUUCAUUAAUGGAAGCAACGUUACUACCGUGAGCCCGGAUAGCUCAGUCGGUAGAGCAUCAGACUUUUAAUCUGAGGGUCCAGGGUUCAAGUCCCUGUUCGGGCGGUAUCUUUUUUUUCCUCAUUAAAAGAGUAAGAACCAAUUUUAGGAUCUUUUGUUUGUUAACACACUGCAAAAGAAGGGAAUAAAGUCCUGGAUUGUGUAAACUGCGACCCCAAACACUUCUCGGAGGGUAAGCCCUCU
rnacentral:tRNA from 10 species